AUUGAACGCUGGCGGCAUGCCUUACACAUGCAAGUCGAACGGUAACAGGUCUUCGGAUGCUGACGAGUGGCGAACGGGUGAGUAAUACAUCGGAACGUGCCUAGUAGUGGGGGAUAACUACUCGAAAGAGUGGCUAAUACCGCAUGAGAUCUACGGAUGAAAGCAGGGGAUCGCAAGACCUUGUGCUACUAGAGCGGCCGAUGGCAGAUUAGGUAGUUGGUGGGAUAAAAGCUUACCAAGCCGACGAUCUGUAGCUGGUCUGAGAGGACGAUCAGCCACACUGGGACUGAGACACGGCCCAGGCUCCUACGGGAGGCAGCAGUGGGGAAUUUUGGACAAUGGGCGCAAGCCUGUUCCAGCAAUGCCGCGUGCAGGAUGAAGGCCUUCGGGUUGUAAACUGCUUUUGUACGGAACGAAAAGCCCUGGGUUAAUACCCUGGGGUCAUGACGGUACCGUAAGAAUAAGCACCGGCUAACUACGUGCCAGCCGCCGCAGUAA
rnacentral:rRNA from 1 species